AGAAGCACUUUAGAAAGUAAACAUGAAAAAAAAAAUAGAAAGUAAACAUGAUUUUUUUUUUUUAAGGUGAGAUGCAGUUGGGCGUCCACAUGGAAUGAGUGAGCAGCUUACUUUUUGUCUGGUUACGAUGUGGUUUUGUUACAUUGUUUUGAGCUCUGUCCCUUAUAGAAAAACAAUCAGACAGUUAUUAGAUUCCCUGACAUUAACACAUGACACUGCAGGGGUGUUUAUGCCCUGCGGUCAAUGAUUGGCGUGGGGAUUACGCCAUCGGGGGUGAGUACAGAAUUGCUAGGUGCUUUGCUCUGGUAAUCAGGGCUUUAUCUCUAAUCUAAGAGAGAGGAUUGAGCUCCUUAACAAUGACCAGAAAAUGCUUUUAGGAAGAUUCCUUUCCUAGCCAACAAUUUCUUAAGUUUGCAGUAAACAUGUGGGUCACCCUGGCCAGGGGACACCUGCAAAGAGCAUGGUGGCUAAGUACCUUUGUCUUCAAAGCCAAUGAAAUGAAAGAAUGUCAUAGAAUCUAUAAAGAAACUUUACCUGAAAGAGGAAAAUAAUGGGGAAGGGGUGGGUGCUGUUGUUCAUGAUGUGCUGGUGAGGGACUCUGGCCCUAGUCCCUUUUGUGAGGACUUUAACUUUCCCCAAGUACUAUUUGGUGACAAGACUUUCACCA
rnacentral:lncRNA from 1 species